rnacentral:lncRNA from 1 species
UAGUCUUAAUGAGAUCUUGAAAAGAUUGCUCAAUGAGACAUAGUGAUGAAUAGUUUUGAUUAUGAGCAGCAGGGUUGGCAAAAAGCAACCCCACAAUAUUAAAGAAGCAAUCAUACAACAUUACACCUUUGGUUCACCAUAUUAUAAGCUUUUAAGAAGUGCAGGACUAUUCAUACAACAUAGCUAAAGGGCAGCCCGGCGCAUAAGGCAUCUCGCAUUCACGCAGGGUCUGUGAAAGGGCCGCACUCAAGAGGUGUGAUGUAGACAACCUACCCUAAUGCAAGUAUUAGUGGCUGUUUUUAUGGCUCGAACCCCAUGACCUAUAGGUCACAUGGAGACAACUUUACAGUUGCUCCAAGGCUCCCCUUCUCAUACAACAUAUCCAUAAAGUAAAAUCACCAACAAUACAACUCUACAACCUAGAUUGGAUGCAUCAUGGUCCAUCUAUACUUAAUGGACACAUCAUCUAUACAGUACAGAAUUCCUACAUAGUAAUUUCCAUCACAAUGCAAGCGCAGUAAGUGGAAUGAACCUGGUCAAAAUGUUAUUAGCACCAAACGGCAGUAUUCAGGCCCACUGUCAGCAGUCCAAAGCAGAGUGAGUAACAUGCUUCUUGCGCUGUUAAAGGAAAUUACGCAGGACAGAAGACUUGAUUAGCUCAAAUGAGUCUCGAACCAGUUGAAGAUUUGCUCAGAUUGCAAGCUGGUCAUUUCAUGAAAAGCAAAUGCAAGGUUCAUUUCCUCUUCAAUGUGCUUUGCUAGGGACUUAUGCGGGAGAACAAUAUCUCUCUCUUGGAGAGUCUCCUUCCAAAGUUUAUCACGCCCAUCAUUUGUCAUGAAACCAUUCUUAUCGACAAAACCCUUUUCCUGAAAUAGACUAAACAACUUCGCCGAUGUAGCAACAUCAAUACCAGGGAUUUUAUCAGCAAACAGAUUAGGCGACAAAAGAAACUCCAGGCAUUUAACUUCUGCAACACCAAUGCCUUUUCCCUUCAGGAGUAUCGCGAAUCAUUUUAGUUUCUGCAUCCUACUCUUAUCUUUAGGCAUGUGCACAAAAAGGGUGGGUGGAUAACUCUCUGGAAUCUCCAAUUUAUCAUACAAUCCUUCAAUAAUCAUUACCGUGAUGCUACUAAAUCUUAAAUCAGUCGCUAGAAUUGAAACAAAGUAUCCUCCAGAGGAAGCACCCAAAGCUACAAGAGGCAAAUGUUGAAGCUUUUGUUUAGCAAUCCACCACUCAAUAAUAUCUUUGACGACAAAUCUUUCCUCUUUGAACGACCAGCACGCCUCAGCACUUGAUACCGCGAUAACUGCAAAUUUCCUAGCUAAAGCAUUAAGUGUAAGAAGCCUCUCUUCAGGUAGACCGACACAAUUCGGGCACUUGAACGACCAGCACGCCUCAGCACUUGACACCGCGAUAACUGCAAAUUUCCUAGCUAAAGCAUUAAGUGUAAGAAGCCUCUCUUCAGGUAGACCGACACAAUUCGGGCACUUAGAGGAUCUGUCCCGAAAGUUAGCUGCUUUACCAUCACAACCAUGUGCAAGAAAAAGAAUUGCUUUAGGUGAGUCAGGGAUUUGCCAUAUCAUAUCUGUGUCAUUCCUGAACUCUACUGUGGGGUCUAACUUAACCACAAAGCUAAAACUAUCCCAGUUCUGUUUGAUUAUCUCACAUGAUGAACCAGUUUUUUCUCCAUUCUCUCGAUACAAAACCAAGUAUAAUACAGAAAUGAAGAGAAAAAAUGCAAUCACAAUAGGCAGUCGUUUAAUUUGGACAAUAUUCCUUAACUUCAAUAUCAU